rnacentral:lncRNA from 1 species
UAUCAAUUUACAGUAGUCUGAAGCUGUUUACAAGCAUAUAGGCAGUUUAAAACAAAUAGUAUGUUAAGAAGGUCUCAAGACAGAAACAAGUUUUAUUACCAGCUACUGAGGUUCUCCCUGAUGAUUGACUGGCUCACUGCAGACAGCCUGAGAAGUUAAGAAAUGUACUUUUGAUCUUUUUGUAACAUCAGCGAAAUGAAAUUAGCGGGAAUAGUUUUAACUUCACAAUUUGCUGGAAGACAAAGGAAACAACAACCACCAAUUGGAAAGAGCCCUGCUGCUCUUCAGGACAUGCAGGAAUUAGUAGACAGAAGUGGAAGAAACUUUUUUUUUUCCUCUGACAGGACAACUGGAUCAGAGACUGAAGCAGGGAAAGUACGGAAGAGGAAAUCUGAAUAUUAUGCAUCUUGACAAUGGACUCUUAAAUAGUGAAACAGCAUUUAGCAUUAUUAAAAUAUAAUAUGCUCCUAAUAAUAUGUCUGUUUUCUUGGACAGACAACAACAAGCUGUGUUGCCUUGAUGCAGAAGUGGAAACAAACAGCCAGAAAAUUCAGCACAGAAAUGAAGCUUUAAAAACAGAGAAAAGUCUGUCCAGUGCUUCUUUCUUUUAUGCUGUGGUGUUGUGGUUGCUGUUUUCCGUGAAGAAAAUGUGAAUAAGAACUUUUUCCUAGUUUACACUAUGUUGAUCUUUGUAUGUUGUAAGAUCAUGAAGAAAGGUCUAAGAUGCUAUGGUGACUCUGGCUUUAAGAGCCUGAGAAAUCACUAAAAACACUUUUUGAUUUGAAUGAAACAAACCCUUCCUUAAUCUUUAGCUAGAAGUAUAGUGUUUUUUUGUUCCAUUAAUAGGAUAUAUAUUACCAAAUAUUGCCGUACUAUCCAUGGUCCACAGAUCUGUGUGGACCAAGUCAUAAAGUGUUUUAAACAAAGCAAUAGAGCCUGUGCAUAAAAACAGAAAUGUGGUUGUCAUCAGGUGCUUACAAUACAUAUAAAAUGAUCUCUUUAGAAUAAAAUUUACCCAUCUGCAGAAGAAUGGGAUGAC